GAUGAAGAACGUAGCGAAAUGCGAUAAGUAAUGUGAAUUGCAGAAUUCCGUGAAUCAUCGAAUCUUUGAACGCACAUUGCGCCCCCUGGUAUUCCGGGGGGCAUGCCUGUCCGAGCGUCAUUGCAACCCUCAAGCGCGGCUUGCGUGUUGGGCGCCGUCCCCCGUGGACGCGCCCGAAAGGCAGUGGCGGUACCGUGCUCCGGUGCCCGAGCGUAUGGGCUUAAAACCCGCUCUUGUGGCCCGGCCGGCGCUGGCAUCGACCCCCAACUUUACAAGGUUGACCUCGGAUCAGGUAGGGAUACCCGCUGAACUUAAGCAUAUCAAUAAGCGGAGGA
rnacentral:misc_RNA from 1 species